rnacentral:sRNA from 1 species
UAAAACAUGGUAAGCACAUUGAUUGCUUG